CGUUCAAUGCGAAAAUCGGCCAUGCUUUCACAACAAUGGCGAAAGCGAGAUAGGCAAGGAAAUAUUCAAGCAACAGGUUUAACACCUCAAAUUACACAGAAUUCAGUUUCUUCCUCAGCAACCAAAACAGUUUCACAACAAAAGCUAAGGACCAUGCCUAAAAAAUAUUAUGACUGCGCAUGGCGCUCCAUGGCGAUGAAGUAUGUGCCUUGCGCCUUGCGCCAAGGCGCAUCGAGGCGCUCGCCUUGAAGACCACUUGAAACUGUGAUUAAAAAAAAAACUAAAUUACUAUGAUGAUGAACAUGCAAAUAAAGCAUUCAAUUACGUAAAAAACAUGCAAACACAAACUAUACCAUAAAGAGCAAUAAAAUACAUGUUAAAAAUGAA